rnacentral:rRNA from 1 species
UGGGGAAUAUUGGACAAUGGGCGAAAGCCUGAUCCAGCCAUGCCGCGUGAGUGACGAAGGCCUUAGGGUUGUAAAGCUCUUUUGGCGGGGAAGAUAAUGACGGUACCCGCAGAAUAAGCUCCGGCUAACUUCGUGCCAGCAGCCGCGGUAAUACGAAGGGAGCUAGCGUUGUUCGGAAUCACUGGGCGUAAAGCGCACGUAGGCGGAUUGUUUAGUCAGGGGUGAAAUCCCGGAGCUCAACUUCGGAACUGCCUUUGAUACUGGCAAUCCCGAGUCCGAUAGAGGUGGGUGGAAUUCCUAGUGUAGAGGUGAAAUUCGUAGAUAUUAGGAAGAACACCGGUGGCGAAGGCGGCCCACUGGAUCGGUACUGACGCUGAGGUGCGAAAGCGUGGGGAGCAAACAGGAUUAGAUACCCUCGUAGUCCCUGAGCGGGCUGGCAAGGCGCAU